rnacentral:lncRNA from 1 species
CGAAGGGUGAGUGAGGAUCUGCCGGAGGGAGGGAGACAACAAGGAGAGAGGGGUGUGAGAUGGCGGGGAGGGAACACGCACAAGCCAAGCCGUGGGAUGUGGAGGGUGCGGGCGGGGCGCGGGGCAGGCUCAGCUGCCCUCAGAGUCUGGGCUGGGGAGAGCCGGGGCCCACGAGGCGUGGCAAGGCGGGGAGAGAGAAGCUAGACCUCCCUGCUGCGCUUCUGCAGCGAAAAUGGAGAGACCCGGAAGGCGUGUGUGCGCCCGCCUCUCCCACAGGAGGGAGCGCGGAGACCCGGGAGCGGCCUAGGACCGGAGGCGCGACCCCUCGGCCCACCUUGAGGCCCGGCCUAGGACCGGAGGCGCGACCCCUGGGCCCACCUUGAGGCCCGGCCUAGGACUGGAGGCGCGACCCCUCGGCCCACCUUGCGGGAGCCGCCUAGGACCGGAGGCGCGACCCCUCGGCCCAGCUUGAGGCCCGGCCUAGGACCGGAGGCGCGACCCCUCGGCCCACCUUGCGGGAGCCGCCUAGGACCGGAGGCGCGACCCCUCGGCCCGGCCUAGGACUGGAGGCGCGACCCCUCGGCCCACCUUACGGGAGCCGCCUAGGGCCGGAGGCGCGACCCCUCGGCCCAGCUUGAGGCCCGGCCUAGGACCGGAGGCGCGACCCCUCGGCCCACCUUGAGGCCCGGCCUAGGACUGGAGGCGCGACCCCUCGGCCCACCUUGAGGCCCGGCCUAGGACCGGAGGCGCGACCCCUGGGCCCACCUUGAGGCCCGGCCUAGGACUGGAGGCGCGACCCCUCGGCCCACCUUGAGGCCCGGCCUAGGACCGGAGGCGCGACCCCUGGGCCCACCUGGCGGCCCGGCCGGCACAGCCCGCCUCUCCUCUCCAGGCCAGGGCCCCACACCUUCCGCCUGACAGCCAGCCAAGCUCUUCAGUCCCCCGCCCUCCACCUGCCAGGGAGGCUCCGGGCGUUGUACCUGCCACCACGGGGUAGGUCUGACGGAGUUUUGCUCUUGUUGCCCAAGCUGGAGUGCAAUGGUGCGAUCUUCGCUUACUGCAACCUCUGCUUCCUGGGUUCAAGUGAUUCCCCUGCCUCAGCCUCCCGAGUAGCAGGGAUUACAGGUGCGUGCUACCAUGCCAGGCUAAUUUUUUGUAUCUUUAGUAGAGACAGGAGUUUCACCAUGUUGGCCAGGCUAGUCUUAAACUCCUGACCUCAUGAUCUGCCUGGCUUGACCUCCCAAAGUGUUGGGAUUACAGGCAUGAGCCGUUGCACCUGGCCAGGGUGUGUCUUAUUGAAAUUGAACAAAAUACCUAAUUUCUAGAGCGUAUAAGAGAAGUUUAAAAUGCUUUAUGGAUGUGUUGUUUUGACAGCAAAAUAUCUACUCAGAAUCCUAUAGCUAUUUCAAAAUCCAAGUAACUUAGAAAAAAAGGAAAAAGAAAACCUAUAUAGUCAAAUCUUUUGGUGAUUUUGUAUUCAAUGACUGAAACUUCCCAGUGAUUAUUGGGCUUUUUAGCUGGAAUUGAACUUGAAUCGGGGCAGAGCAGCACAAUGCUUCAGAACUUCAGCGACUCUGAGCCCUGGUUCUGCAAUGACCUGCCAAGUAGCUUUAGUCUACUUGACUGCUCUGAACCUUAAUUUUCUCACCUGUAUGGGAAUCAUAGACUCUACUUUAUGAGGCUGACGUAAGCAUUACAUGAAAUUUUGUAUACUUAUACAUAAUGUGCUUAGCACCGAAUACUUGGUGACAGCAGAUGCCCAAUGAGAGUUAUCACAGAUAUUAUUUCAGAAUCGUGAAGAGUCAGAAGCCACCAAAUUCUUGAUUUCUGUCAAUAAACUGAUAUUCAUAUUCUGUUGAUUUUUUUUGAUGCAUUUGUAAAAUAGGGAAACAAGAGCUGUAUGACUUCUAGCUAUGUCUGGUCAUGAAAUAGCAACCAGGAAUAAGGCCACAUGAUGUUUCUGAUGAACACUUCCCCCUGCCCUUUUUUUUUUUUUUUCAGAUGGAGCCUCGCUCUGUCACCCAGGCUGGAGUGCAGUGGCACAAUCUCGGGUCACUGCAACCUCCGCCCCCCAGCUUCAAGCGAUUCUCCUGUCUCAGCCUCCCGAGUAGCUAGGAUUACAGGUGCACGCCACCAGGCCUGGCUAAUUUUUAUAUUUUUAGUAGAGAUGGGAUUUUGCCUUGUUGGCCAGGCUGGUCUCAAACUCCUGACCUCAGGUGACCCAUCCACCUUGGCCUCCCAAAGUGCUGGGACUACAGGUGUGAGCCACCAUGCCUGGUCCCCCACUUGUUGAUUUUGCAGAAAAGAUAGCUGUGUUACAACCUGUCCUAAGGUCAGGUAUGAAUACUUGUGCUUCUUUCUUGGCUCCCCAAGCCAGAGGGCAUUCCUAUGCCCAGGUGAGAGAGCACGGAGUGUUACUUUGGCAGCACAGUCAGUUACCAGAGGUAGGAAAAGCAAAGGCCAGGCAGGACAUGAGGGGCCCUUGCACUGGCUGGUUCUCCCUGCCUUCACCACCCUCCAGGUGAAUGACUGGGUGAAUAAUGAUUGACUGAGGAGGUAAUGAAUAAUUUAUGGACACUGCUGGACCUCAGUCUCCUCAUCUGAAAGAUGAGUGGUUGGAGAAGUUUAAUGGUUUUCAAAUGCUUUUUUUUUCAGUCUUCAAAUAAGUGUUUACGUAGAAGCACCAUAUCUGAAACAGGUGACAGUGGACCAGUCUGAAUGAAAUGAGGGUUGGCAGGCCUGAGCUCCAAAACCUUCUGAUUGCCCAAGCCCUCCUUGUCUUGCUUGGAUUAUCUCCACACAAAUGGAGAAACUGGACAAGGUGGUCAUGGAGGUCCCUGAAAGCUCAAAGACUUUCUCAUUCCAGGAUUCCCCAUGUUCAUAUGCCAGCAUGGCAUGGGGGUGCUCUGUAGUCAAGCAGGGUCCUUUGGGGGGCUUAGGGAUGGAGCCAGGAAAUGGCUCUGGGACUCAGCGGGUGUCCAGAGUCUCAUCAGCAGGGUUUCUUUACUUUCACUGAGUGGCUGGUGCCUGCACACUGAGUUUUGCAGGCUUACUCUCACAGAGUGAGCUUCCUGCAGGCCCCCCACUGCAACCCCUUUCCUUCCUGGAGCUGUGUGCUGACUGGUGCGUGAGCACCCCAGGCCCUCUCCCCAUGCUGCUGAUGGUCAGCUUUCUCUGCACGCUCGUGGUUGCCACAGUCAACGCUGAUAAAAUUGCUGAUGCAGAUUGCCUGCCCAGCUGCGAGUGCUGGCACGGGACCAGCAGCCCAGACGGUCACUGGAAGUGGUUGGGCUGAUUAUUGGCAUCAUCUCCAUUGUCCUACUCGGUUCUUAAAGGCAUAUGGACUUGCCUCACUCCUACAGCAAAUGACGGCAUGGGCAAAGAGGGGCAACAGACCCACCCUGAAGACACUCCUCAUCUGGUUGACUUGGCAGGGUUAAGGGAAAAAGAUGUGAUGACUAGGAGCUGAGAGCUUAGUGGUUCUGCCAGAGCUGCAGAGUCUUUGUUGGCCUCAGGGUGGGACCUCUCACAUCUCUGUCAGCUUUUCACGGACACCAACCUGUUAUGAUUCAUUUCACCUGUCCUGAGCACUAGCAAGAAAAAUUCGCUGUAGCUUGUGAUGUAUUAUUCUGGAUUUCUCAACUCAUUCAUUUGUUCAUUCAUUCACUAUACCAUUACUGUCUAUUAUAAGGGGGGCACAAUGGUAGGUGCUGGGAAUAAAAACGAUGUUUAACGUUUCAUGAGGCUUCCCUGU